UGAUGAUGACGAUGAUGGUGGUGGUGAUGAUGACGAUGAUGACGGUGGUGAAGAUGGUCAUCGUCGUCGUCGUAAUCAUCAUCAUUAUCAUCAUCAUCA
rnacentral:pre_miRNA from 1 species